rnacentral:rRNA from 1 species
UACGGAGGGGACUAGCGUUGUUCGGAAUUACUGGGCGUAAAGCGCGCGUAGGCGGAUUUGCAAGUCGGGGGUGAAAGCCCGAGGCUCAACCUCGGAACUGCCUUCGAUACUGCAAAUCUCGAGUCCGAGAGAGGUGAGUGGAAUUCCUAGUGUAGAGGUGAAAUUCGUAGAUAUUCGGAAGAACACCAGUGGCGAAGGCGACUUACUGGACACAUAUUGACGCUGAGGUGCGAAAGCGUGGGGAGCAAACAGG